GAUGAACGCUGGCGGCGUGCCUAAUACAUGCAAGUCGAGCGAACAGACGAGGAGCUUGCUCCUCUGACGUUAGCGGCGGACGGGUGAGUAACACGUGGAUAACCUACCUAUAAGACUGGGAUAACUUCGGGAAACCGGAGCUAAUACCGGAUAAUAUAUUGAACCGCAUGGUUCAUUAGUGAAAGACGGUUUUGCUGUCACUUAUAGAUGGUUCCGCGCCGCAUUAGCUAGUUGGUAAGGUAACGGCUUACCAAGGCGACGAUGCGUAGCCGACCUGAGAGGGGGAUCGGCCACACUGGAACUGAGACACGGUCCAGACUCCUACGGGAGGCAGCAGUAGGGAAUCUUCCGCAAUGGGCGAAAGCUUGACGGAGCAACGCCGCGUGAGUGAUGAAGGUCUUCGGAUCGUAAAACUCUGUUAUUAGGGAAGAACAAAUGUGUAAGUAACUAUGCACGUCUUGACGGUACCUAAUCAGAAAGCCACGGCUAACUACGUG
rnacentral:rRNA from 1 species